AGAUGAUGCGGGGCGCAGGACGAUUCACGAUCCCAGGUGGACUUGCGCGCUCGAAACCAGCGAUCACAGGGCCCAAAUGGAAACCAGAGAGCUCCGAAUAGGCCACAGCGGUCAGUUACCCAGGACUGCAGAGACACCCUUCACUCCUGCAUGCGUUUGAUCUGACUCCACCAGAAGGUCCAGUCGCCAACGCCUAGCUGAGGUCCCAGGCCAGGCCUUACCCCCAACCCCUACCCUCUCAGCCUCCAAUUGAAAGAAGGCCUGCCGGCUCCAACUCAAUUAGCACAAAGGCGGCGGCGGGCACCCUGGUCUGUGCCGCAGGGCAGGGAGCGUCCUGGCGGGCAGGUAGAGAGAAGUCCGCUAGCCCCGGGUGUUAUCAGCAAGCGGCUUAAUCAGGAAUUUGAGCUGACAACGUGCGCACCGCCACCCGGCUCCGCCAGCCGGUUGACGGUGGGAGUGAGACCCGAGAGGCUGGAGUCCCAGACUUCAAAGCUGCCCGAGGUGCGGCGGCCUUGGGGAAGGGGGCGCCCGGCGACAAUCGGCAACCCCGAGCGCCGCCUGGACAGAAGCCGGCGGGCCAGUGGGCGCUGGACCAUCUUCCCUGCGAUUUUUUUAUGUAUAUGAGUACAAUGCAGCUGUCUUCAGACACACACUAGAAGAGUGCAGUGGACUCCAUUACAGAUGGCUGUGAGCCACCAUGUGGUUGCUGGUAAUUGAACUCAGGACCUCUGGAAGAGCAAUCUGUGCUCUUAACUGCUGAGCCACCUCUCCAGUUCCCACCACCACCAUGCCCGCUCGGCCCCCCAGACAUCACACAAAGAAGAAAACGACAAGGCAGACCAACAGAUGAACAGGAUCCAGAGUGACCAGAACCAGACCAGAUGUCCCAUGAUGACAUCACAGGAGGGACCGACAUUGUGGGAAUGGUGCUUGAAGAUGAUGGUGACACUUUCUGGGAAGACCUUCCCGGAUCUCCAGAGGUACGGAACCGAGGUCCAAAUUUGCAUGGUGAGUCCCAACCUCCACCACUGGUCUUUGUGCCCUCCUGGUAGAGCUGUGCCCUGCCCGUGUGGUUAUAAUGGGGCCAUCACAUGUGUGUAGAGGAUGAAGACAGCCACAGUGACAUGCCGGACAUUUAUUAUGCAUCAGUAGUCUCCAUCCACGGUGCCCACAGCACCCACUUGAGAGUCACUCCUAGCUGACAUGGUACCUCAACUGGAAUCCUCUAUCCAAGGAUCUUGUGGACCACAUGAGGCUAAUUAGAAUAUGCUCUUCUCUGCGGCUGCUGGUCAGGGAUGAGCGCUCUCCCAUGUCUGCUUCUGUUAGCCGUGAAUGAGUCUGCCUUCUUUUUAAGGAAUGAAUAUAUAUUCUUUGAUGGUUCCAUACAUGUACACAUGUACUGUCUGUUGAUUAUAUUUUACGCCACACCCCUUACUCCCCCAUGUCUUCCCAAAAUCUCUUCUCUCUCCUCUCUUCUCCCUCCCCUCCAUCCUCUUCCUUCUCCUCCUCCUCUUCUUUAAAACCACACCCAGUCCAGUGAGUGUUGCCUGAACACACAUGGGCAUUGAGCCAUCCCAGGGACUUGGGCAACCUACCAGCAGUCAUCCAUACCUUUGGAGAAGCUCGGCCGUCCUUCCUUGGAAGCAUCCAUUGUAAGUAGAUCUUCACCCAGGGAUGGGAUUUUAUGAGCCUCUCCCGUCCAUGCUGGAUAUUGACUGACUCCAUCGUGUGUGAAUCACCACAGCUGCUGUGAGUUCGUGAAUCCGAUGCUCACACAUCGUGGCCAGAGGACAGCAUUUCACUCCCCUCUCCCAGCCUCUAGCUUUGAUGUUCUUUCUGCUUCCUCUCCCAUAAUGUCCCCUGAGCUUCACAGGGGAUAGGUGGAUAUAGGUGUCCCAUCAGGGGUGAACACUCACGGUCACUUACUGUUAGCACUUUGAUCAAGCCGUGAGUCCCAGCACUAACCACUACACUGGAAGAAACAGCUUCCUGAGCAAUGCUAAUUUAUGGAUAUAAAUAGAAAUAUUGAGAAGGCAAUUUGACAGCGUGUCCAUUUAACCGGUAGUUUCUCCCCUAGGGCCUAUGACCUCCGGACCCACAGCUUUUGACUAGGUGCAUGGCACUAGAUUUGUGUUCCCUCCUCUGAAGCAGACCUCAGAUCCCGUCAGAAAACGGGUGGCUCCCACAACCACCAUGCCUCUAUGGCACUGGUAGCAGGGCUUGCUUUGGCUUUGUUCCUUAACUUCCAGCUACCUUGAGAUCUUCUAGGCAGCUCCCCUGCAGCCAGAGGACCAGCUAUUCAGCUGCGUGUGACAGAUGACAAUGUUCCUUCCCCUACCCGCCUGCCCACCCAGAGCUCUGACCUGGUGUCAGCCUCUUGUGCUGAAUGGAGGCAUCUACAGCUGCUGGCUGAGGGUGGGAUCUGAACAGAUCCGGUUAUGCAUCAUGUAUAUCACUGGGAUGUGUACCGAGAGUCACCAUGGAAACCUGGGUAUGGGACUCAGAGUCACCAUGGAAACCAGCCACUGGGUAUGCCUGUCAGGAAGCUUCUAGAGUGUGUUCACGGAAGUGGGAAGAGCCACCCUGCGUGUUGGCAGUGCCAUCUCUUCGUGAUCUGGGGUCCUGGACAGAAUGAAAAGGAGCAAGCAAGUGGAGUACCAGCAGUCACCCCUCUCUGCUUCCUGACUGUGGGUGCCAUGUGACCAGCUGUUUCAUGUUCCUGCCACUGUGCCUCCCCGCCAUGACGGACUGUGCACGCUCACACUGUGAGCCAGCGCGAACCCUUCCUUCUUUAAGGUGCUUUUUGUUACAGCGGUGAGACGACGGCUAAUAUGCUGCAGAAACACGUGCACGGUGUGCAGGGCUCACGUGGACGACACAAUCCCUGCUGCAUCUCAUUUGACUAGCUCUCAGCAUCUGCUUCAGCCGCUCUUCUAGGAAACCACUCUUAUUCUUCUGGACUCUCUUUUGCUCAUAAAUUAAAAUGCAAAUUCUAUGAAAUUAGAGCGCUCCGUUCCGUGGUAUUACGCGGCGGCACUCCACGGGCCUGGGAGUGCAGAGCUGAUUGGAUGUCCCACCCAAAGGAGAGACGGUUCAAGCUCUUUCCAGGAAAUUGAGUGGAACACCCAAACUGACAUCCAAUAUUAAAUAUUGUAUUUGUGGACUUG
rnacentral:lncRNA from 1 species